ACGGAGGGUGCAAGCGUUAUCCGGAUUUACUGGGUUUAAAGGGUGUGUAGGCGGACUUUUAAGUCAGGGGUGAAAUCCCGGGGCUCAACCCCGGAACUGCCUUUGAUACUAUUAGUCUUGAAUUAUGUUGAGGUUGGCGGAAUAUAACAUGUAGCGGUGAAAUGCAUAGAUAUGUUAUAGAACACCGAUUGCGAAGGCAGCUGGCUAAACAUAUAUUGACGCUGAGGCACGAAAGCGUGGGUAGCGAACAGGA
rnacentral:rRNA from 1 species